GACGAACGCUGUCGGCGUGCUUAACACAUGCAAGUCGAACGGAAAGGCCCUGCUUUUGUGGGGUGCUCGAGUGGCGAACGGGUGAGUAACACGUGAGUAACCUGCCCUUGACUUUGGGAUAACUUCAGGAAACUGGGGCUAAUACCGGAUAGGAGCUCCUGCUGCAUGGUGGGGGUUGGAAAGUUUCGGCGGUUGGGGAUGGACUCGCGGCUUAUCAGCUUGUUGGUGGGGUAGUGGCUUACCAAGGCUUUGACGGGUAGCCGGCCUGAGAGGGUGACCGGCCACAUUGGGACUGAGAUACGGCCCAGACUCCUACGGGAGGCAGCAGUGGGGAAUAUUGCACAAUGGGCGGAAGCCUGAUGCAGCAACGCCGCGUGCGGGAUGACGGCCUUCGGGUUGUAAACCGCUUUCGCCUGUGACGUAGCGUGAGUGACGGUAAUGGGUAAAGAAGCACCGGCUAACUACGUGCCAGCAGCCGCGGUGAUACGUAGGGUGCGAGCGUUGUCCGGAUUUAUUGGGCGUAAAGGGCUCGUAGGUGGUUGAUCGCGUCGGAAGUGUAAUCUUGGGGCUUAACCCUGAGCGUGCUUUCGAUACGGGUUGACUUGAGGAAGGUAGGGGAGAAUGGAAUUCCUGGUGGAGCGGUGGAAUGCGCAGAUAUCAGGAGGAACACCAGUGGCGAAGGCGGUUCUCUGGGCCUUUCCUGACGCUGAGGAGCGAAAGCGUGGGGAGCGAACAGGCUUAGAUACCCUGGUAGUCCACGCUGUAAACGGUGGGUACUAGGUGUGGGGUCCAUUCCACGGGUUCCGUGCCGUAGCUAACGCUUUAAGUACCCCGCCUGGGGAGUACGGCCGCAAGGCUAAAACUCAAAGGAAUUGACGGGGCCCCGCACAAGCGGCGGAGCAUGCGGAUUAAUUCGAUGCAACGCGUAGAACCUUACCUGGGUUUGACAUGGAUCGGGAGUGCUCAGAGAUGGGUGUGCCUCUUUUGGGGUCGGUUCACAGGUGGUGCAUGGCUGUCGUCAGCUCGUGUCGUGAGAUGUUGGGUUAAGUCCCGCAACGAGCGCAACCCUUGUUCACUGUUGCCAGCACGUUAUGGUGGGGACUCAGUGGAGACCGCCGGGGUCAACUCGGAGGAAGGUGGGGAUGACGUCAAGUCAUCAUGCCCCUUAUGUCCAGGGCUUCACGCAUGCUACAAUGGCUGGUACAGAGAGUGGCGAGCCUGUGAGGGUGAGCGAAUCUCGGAAAGCCGGUCUCAGUUCGGAUUGGGGUCUGCAACUCGACCUCAUGAAGUCGGAGUCGCUAGUAAUCGCAGAUCAGCAACGCUGCGGUGAAUACGUUCCCGGG
rnacentral:rRNA from 1 species